UAUAUGAAGUGACUGAUAACAAGAUCUGUAUAAUGGAUUGUAAAAAAAUUUGUCAGGUUUUUAUUUUGUAGACAAUUAAUCUGUAUUUAUAGCAUGAUGGGAUGACAGUACAAUGAUGUGUGUGGUAUCAUUGGAAAGCUAUGCUCCUGUGCUUUCAUGUGAUAUGCGUGGCAUGUCUGUGCGAGCCUGCAUUCGCGAGUAAUCCAUCCAAGAGUAAUGUGUGUGCAAAGCUGCAUGAAAGCUCUGUUAUUCAUGAUUUUAGUGUAACUUUAUCUUUUUUUUUCGCUGUGAAAACAUUGGACUACCGACAAGGGCUUCUCGCUAUGACGCACGGUCGCAGAGAAAAUCAAUAGAGAAGAACAGGUGUGAAUUUGGACGCACUAUGCGUCGUUCGGGCCCAUAGGGUUAAAUUAAUUUCACAAUCAAGAAGUCAUGCCCCUUCUCCAAUAUUUACCUUCUUUACGCCUUUAUUUUCUGAUUCUUUAGCAGGAUGAGUUUAUUAUUUGUAUAGAAAACACUCUGUUAGCAGCAGGAGCAGCGGACUUUUUUUCACCAAGCACUGCUGAGAGGAGAAGUGCUCAAAGAUGUGUCCCAGAUAUGUAUGCUCACCCACAUCCUUUUUACGCACACACACCCCCACACACGCACUGUUUAAUCGUGUUGGAAAUGGGGAAGUCAGAACGCACUUUGUGGCCUCUAAUUUUAUUUUUAAACUGAGUGCUAUUCCAUCACCACUUGCUGCGUGGCACUGCAAAGCUUCAGUUCUUUUUAACACGCAACUAAAGAAGGUUUGUUGGUUGAGAAGAUGAGUAGGGGGAUUCGGAGGACAAAUAGAUUUUUUCCACUGUCAAAAGAAAAGCUAUUGUACCACAUCACUAUGUUUCCUGCAAAGAAAACCAGAAACCCACAAGAGCUUUGCCUUCCACGGAAAGUUUCAGUUUCAUAGUCUGUCUGUGGUCAUUAACGUUCUUUAACACUAAACUCUUACCACCAAAAGCAAAAACUUCACCUGAGAGCAAUCAUAAAUCUUAAAAUCAAUACAGUCAUGCAUUUUACAUGGGAAUACUUCUACUGUUAAACACACACACAGACACACACAGGCACAGGGCCCAUCAAUAAUUAGGGUUAACAUGAUCUCACUUGAACUCGAGAGGGGACGUGUUAGUCCGCUCUUCACAGCUCUUUCAAGUAUGUGACAAAGAGAGAGAGACAGAGGGUGUGUGUGUAUGUGUCAUGAAGCUGGUGUGUGAUUGUCAACAUCUCAAUGUUUCAGUAACACACUCUGGCUGUGGCGGCGAGGUAUAGAUGGCUUCUCCUUUUACUGAGCUGGAGGUGUUGACGAUCAUGUUCUCUCUCCUGGUGUUCACCCUCUUCACACUUACUGGGAUGCUCAAUGAGGAAUGUGCACACUCAAAUGAGACAAAUGCACAGCUACAGAGUGAGGAGCUGAUCGUCUGACUCCAGAUGAGGUUCAUGACUGAGACUGAAAAACUACAGAGGGCAACAGCGGUCUCUCACUUCCUGUUAGUGGUAUCUUGAUGACAAGUCAGCCAAAGACUGUGUGUGUGUGUGUGUGUGUGUGUGUGUGUGUGUGUGUGUGUGUGUGUGUUUUAUCAGUUACCAGAGCAAAGUCUAAAUGGUGACCUAUGAGCAUGCAUGUUUGUGUACUCUGUUAUAGGAUCCAGUAUUACCUGCUUCCAGGAUGAGGCACAAAGGAGUGGCCUCAAUGUUACACUGUAAAAAAAAAAAAAGGUUAAUAAACAGUAUCUCACACGUUUUCUUUCCUCUAUGAGAGUGUAUACCUGUGAAAACUCACAGAAGUGCUUUUUACUGACCUUCAGAUCUAGAAAUAGCUGCUGUGAUUCUUCCU